rnacentral:tRNA from 1 species
GGGGCCUUAGAUCAGUGGUAGAUUAUGUGAUUCCAGCUUCCGGGAACUCCACAGGGUCGUCCGUUCGAUCCGGGCAGGCCUCA